CCGAGGCCGGCCGCGUGGCUGGAAGUCAUGGCUGCCUCUGUCCGGGCCCAGGUCGGCGCGCAGCCUCGGGCCUCAGGCCUUUGGCCAUGGCCUGCCUUGAGCAUCUGCAGAGACAGAAGCGGACUUGCAGGUUGAAGCUUAAAAGUAAUGAAUGGAGCCCCGGAAUGAGUUCAAGGUGUGGGCUGUGGACUGAGAAAAGUCACGUGAAAACCAUCAUCUUCAGAUGUUGAGUGUAAGGAUCUUCGUGAUGGAAAUUUCUAUAAAUGGCUAGUCCAACCUUGGUUUCGGACCCGAAACGGACCCUCCAGGAGAAGCCUCUAAGCCGCAGUGUCUGCAGUGUGAGGCACAGGACUGAGCGGCUUUGCCCGAAGCAAGAGAAAGGGUUCCUCCCGCUGUGACCGCCCCGUUGUGCCGGCCGGAUCCGCGCAGCCUCUGUUAAUAGUAAUGCCUGUCAAGUGUUCCCCCCAAAGGAGAAUAUUUCAGAGCCCUGCGGACUCCAUCUUCGAAAAUAGCCAAAUAACCUGAGAGAAAAUAGUUUAUCCCAUAAAGUCUUGGGCAAUUAGUGAAAUUGGGGUCUAACUGAGAACAUUCGGGAACCGCAGCUUAGGGGAUCUAUUGCAUUACUUGUGUAUUGGCGGGGCUGCAGCAGCGGUAAAGGAAGGUAAUUAACGUGCACUGAGUGUGCUCUUUUUCGGGAAGCAGCUGCUCCGCCUAGAAAAACAUUUCUCAAAGUGGAAUUCUUAAGUCAGUGUGUCUUGGGCUUAAAUUUUGAAGCACAAAUAAACAUUUUCAAAGUA